rnacentral:rRNA from 1 species
GAUGAACGCUAGCGGCAGGCUUAAUACAUGCAAGUCGAGGGGCAGCAGGACGGUAGCAAUACCGUUGCUGGCGACCGGCAAACGGGUGCGGAACACGUACGCAACCUACCCAUAACUGGGGGAUAGCCCGGGGAAACCCGGAUUAAUACCUCGUAACCUUAUGAAGUGGCAUCGCUUUAUAAGUAUAGCUCCGGCGGUUAUGGAUGGGCGUGCGCCUGAUUAGGUAGUUGGCGGGGUAACGGCCCACCAAGCCUGCGAUCAGUAACUGGUGUGAGAGCACGACCAGUCACACGGGCACUGAGACACGGGCCCGACUCCUACGGGAGGCAGCAGUAAGGAAUAUUGGUCAAUGGACGCAAGUCUGAACCAGCCAUGCCGCGUGAAGGAUGAAGGUCCUCUGGAUUGUAAACUUCUUUUAUAGGGGAAGAAAUCUGAAUAUUCCUAUUCAGUUGACGGUACCCUAGGAAUAAGCACCGGCUAACUCCGUGCCAGCCGCCGCCGUAAAAC